rnacentral:rRNA from 1 species
CUUGGUCAUUUAGAGGAAGUAAAAGUCGUAACAAAGUCUCCGUUGGUGAACCAGCGGAGGGAUCAUUACAGAGUUGCAAAACUCCCAACCCUUUGUGAACGAACCUACCAGUUGCCUCGGCGGCGAGCCUUUCAGGCGGACCGCCGAAGGAAUACAAACUCUUUGCAUUAUAGUAUCUCUGAUUACUUAUUCAAUAAAUUAAAACUUUCAACAACGGAUCUCUUGGUUCUGGCAUCGAUGAAGAACGCAGCGAAAUGCGAUAAGUAAUGUGAAUUGCAGAAUUCAGUGAAUCAUCGAAUCUUUGAACGCACAUUGCGCCCGCUAGUAUUCUGGCGGGCAUGCCUGUUCGAGCGUCAUUUCAACCAUCAAGCCCUAGGCUUGUGUUGGAGCCCUGCGGCUGCCGCAGCCUCCUAAAAACAGUGGCGGGCUCGCUAUUACACCGAGUGCAGUAGUUUACUCUUCGCUCAGGGCGUGUGGCGGGUGCUGGCCGUGAAACCCCCUACUUCUUAAGGUUGACCUCGGAUCAGGUAGGAAUACCCGCUGAACUUAAGCAUAUCAAUAAGCGGAGGA